rnacentral:rRNA from 1 species
CAGGUCUUGACAUCCUCUGACAACCCUAGAGAUAGGGCUUCCCCUUCGGGGGCAGAGUGACAGGUGGUGCAUGGUUGUCGUCAGCUCGUGUCGUGAGAUGUUGGGUUAAGUCCCGCAACGAGCGCAACCCUUGAUCUUAGUUGCCAGCAUUCAGUUGGGCACUCUAAGGUGACUGCCGGUGACAAACCGGAGGAAGGUGGGGAUGACGUCAAAUCAUCAUGCCCCUUAUGACCUGGGCUACACACGUGCUACAAUGGGCAGAACAAAGGGCAGCGAAGCCGCGAGGCUAAGCCAAUCCCACAAAUCUGUUCUCAGUUCGGAUCGCAGUCUGCAACUCGACUGCGUGAAGCUGGAAUCGCUAGUAAUCGCGGAUCAGCAUGCCGCGGUGAAUACGUUCCCGGGCCUUGUACACACCGCCCGUCACACCACGAGAGUUUGUAACACCCGAAGUCGGUGAGGU